AUUGAACGCUGGCGGCAGGCCUAACACAUGCAAGUCGAACGAGUGGCGGACGGGUGAGUAAUGUAUGGGAAACUGCCUGAUGGAGGGGGAUAACUACUGGAAAAGGUAGCUAAUACCGCAUACCAUCAGAUGUGCCCAGAUGGGAUUAGGUUGUUGGAGGGGGAACGGCUCACCAAGGCGACGAUCCCUAGCUGGUCUGAGAGGAUGACCAGCCCCACUGGAACUGAGACACGGGCCAGACUCCUACGGGAGGCAGCAGUGGGGAAUAUUGCACAAUGGGCGCAAGCCUGAUGCAGCCAUGCCGCGUGUAUGAAGAAGGCCUUCGGGUUGUAAAGUACUUUCAGCGGGGAGGCGUUACCCGCAGAGGAAGCACCGGCUAACUCCGUGCCAGCAGCCGCGGUAAUUC
rnacentral:rRNA from 1 species